AUGAAGGUCAUAGAAGUUCAAGGAGGAAGAAGAGAUAUGAAUAUAGAAUUCAUAGGGAGAGUGAAGAAUUUGGUGAUGGAGAUUGAGAGGGAGAAUCGAGAUCUUUUGGUCUGCACAUGGCUUGAAAAGGUUGCAGCAUGGAUGAUUCUUUUGCAGGGCAUGUUUACUCAUCUUGUUUGCCUUCGUGCAGAGCAUGGGCUUGGUUGGAAGAUUGGCUCGAAAAAAGCUGCAGAUCCAAUUACAUGA